rnacentral:rRNA from 1 species
AUUGAACGCUGGCGGCAUGCUUUACACAUGCAAGUCGAACGGCAGCACGGACUUCGGUCUGGUGGCGAGUGGCAAACGGGUGAGUAAUACAUCGGAACGUGCCCAGUUGUGGGGGAUAACUACUCGAAAGAGUAGCUAAUACCGCAUGAGAACUGAGGUUGAAAGCAGGGGAUCGUAAGACCUUGCGCAACUGGAGAGGCCGAUGGCAGAUUAGGUAGUUGGUGGGAUAAAAGCUUACCAAGCCGACGAUCUGUAGCCGGUCUGAGAGGACGACCAGCCACACUGGGACUGAGACACGGCCCAGACUCCUACGGGAGGCAGCAGUGGGGAAUUUUGGACAAUGGGCGAAAGCCUGAUCCAGCAAUGCCGCGUGCAGGAUGAAGGCCUUCGGGUUGUAAACUGCUUUUGUACGGAACGAAAAGCUUCGGGCUAAUACCCUGGAGUCAUGACGGUACCGUAAGAAUAAGCACCGGCUAACUACGUGCCAGCCGCCGCAGUAAGAC